UUGCGAACGGUGUCAGGAGCGUCGGCCGUAGCUGAAGAAUGCUUGACGUGGAAAGUGUCCGGGCCGAGUAACAAAGUUCUGGGUGAAACAAGUGUCUUCUCUGUUUUCAGUCGAGGCCUCCACAGAAGAAUGAGUGUAGAUAAAGCCGAGCUGUGUGACUCGCUCUUAACCUGGCUGCAGACGUUUCAGGUCCCGUCCAGUAACAGCAAACAUGACCUAACGAGCGGAGUGGCCGUCGCUCACGUCCUGCACAGAAUAGACCCCUCGUGGUUUAAUGAGACGUGGCUUGGCAGCAUCAAGGAGGAGAGCGAGGACAACUGGCGCCUCAAGGUAGUUUAUGAAACAGCAGGACAUGACGGCUCUCAAUGCUUACUGAGAAUAAUAUUU